rnacentral:rRNA from 1 species
UUUAAAUUGAGAGUUUGAUCCUGGCUCAGGACGAACGCUGGCGGCGUGCUUAACACAUGCAAGUCGAGCGAUGAAGCUUCCU